rnacentral:rRNA from 1 species
AACGAACGCUGGCGGCAGGCUUAACACAUACAAGUCGAACGCCCCGCAAGGGGAGUGGCAGACGGGUGAGUAACGCGUAUGCAACCUACCUAUUACAGUGGGAUAGCCCGGAGAAAUUCGGAUUAAUACCGCAUGAUAAUGAGAGAAGGCAUCUUUUUUCAUUUAAAAUUUUAAUGGUAAUAGAAGGGCAUGCGGCUGAUUAGCUAGUUGGUAGUGUAAUGGACUACCAAGGCAACGAUCAGUAGGGGUUCUGAGAGGAAGGUCCCCCAAACUGGUACUGAGAUACGGACCAGACUCCUACGGGAGGCAGCAGUAGGGAAUAUUGGGCAAUGGGCGAGAGCCUGACCCAGCCAUGCCGCGUGCAGGAUGAAGGCCUUCUGGGUUGUAAACUGCUUUUGAUCGGGAACAAAGAGGCCUUGCGAGGCAAGUUGAGUGUACCGAUAGAAUAAGCACCGGCUAACUCCGUGCCAGCCGCCGCGGUAACAC